rnacentral:rRNA from 1 species
UACGAAGGGGGCUAGCGUUGCUCGGAAUCACUGGGCGUAAAGCGCACGUAGGCGGCUUACUAAGUCAGGGGUGAAAUCCCGGGGCUCAACCCCGGAACUGCCUUUGAUACUGGUAGUCUCGAGUCCGGAAGAGGUGAGUGGAAUUCCGAGUGUAGAGGUGAAAUUCGUAGAUAUUCGGAGGAACACCAGUGGCGAAGGCGGCUCACUGGUCCGGUACUGACGCUGAGGUGCGAAAGCGUGGGGAGCAAACAGG